rnacentral:rRNA from 1 species
AACGUAGGAGACAAACGUUAUCCGGAGUUACUGGGCGUAAAGGGCGUGUAGGCGGUCUAUUAAGUCUGGCGUGAAAGCUCUCGGCUAAACCGGGAGAGGUCGUUGGAUACUGGCAGACUAGAGGACGGUAGAGGCGUGUGGAAUUCCGGGUGUAGUGGUGAAAUGCGUAGAGAUCCGGAGGAACACCAGUGGCGAAGGCGACACGCUGGGCCGUACCUGACGCUAAAGCGCGACAGCAUGGGGAGCAAACGGGG